GACCCUGAUCCGAGUAAGUACCGUAAAAAUUUGUGUGUCUCUCAAUUCUCCAACUCCCAGCCAUCGCCAUGCUAGGUCGAAUUCCGUCUUAACAGGCUGGCUCAAGGUGGAGUGGAAAGCUUGGGACAGGAGUAUAUCUGCCAAUGCUUCUAGGUUUGCUGACCAGAAGCAGUCACUACUCCAAGUGAACUAGCAUCAACUGACAACCAACUACAUAUUAUGAAUUUCUCAAAAUGAUUUAGAAUCUACAGAUGUUAGUUUCUGUAUUGCAAAUAAAUUUUUUGUAACACGGUCGUUUGUUCUAAGUGAUUUUUUCUGCUCACCUUGUUCAAGAUUCAACAGCUGUAAUUCCAGCUACGCUAUCUGUCCAGAGGAAAUUGAGAAUAUUGAGGAAUUUUUCGAAGACUUUGGAACCUCAAGAGAAAAUAGACAUAAAUAAUCACAGUCAAGAGCAAACAGGAGCAGCACGGGAGGCAUACUGCUCACAUUACUGCUACUACUACUGGUUCUAAGUGUUUGUGUGUUUUAUUUUUAAGAAUAUUUACUAUAUGGAAAACACUAAUGGUGUGUGUAACCACCUGUGUUUAUUUAUGGUAGCCUGCUACUUGAUGGCAUUUUUUAAUCUGAUGUGAUCUGAGCUCUGUGCAACAACAAAAAACCACUCGUUGCCUGUAGCCUAGCCUAAGGUAGCUUUUGGGUUUGUCAAAGCCCCAUUCUUGAGGAUCAAAGAUUUUCAUAUGGCUCUCCUGGGAGCAUGGUCCCUAAUCUCCAUAGAUAUGGAGGGACAAUUGUAGUUAUAAUUAAAGUAACCUAAGUAUUUGCGGCCAUAUAGUAUUCUAACUCAAAGUUCCUAGCAGAGAGUAAUACUUAUUGGUGAUUUUAGGUAGCAAAGUCCCAUGUCUGGUGUUUUGCAAUUAUUCUUUUGGGAAAUUUAUUGGUUUCAAUCUUUGCAAGGGACAAGUUUAUCGGCCUUGAUAACACAUUACAGUAUAUACAUUUUACAAUUGUUGUUAAAGUCUAUAAAUUUUGUUGUCGUGUAAUGGGUAGUUAGCAGUGGUUAUCAUUCACUAAUGUCUAUUUGGUGCAUUGCUGAUUUUGAUAUUUGAAAGGAACACGUUUAUCUGCCCUGAGAAUAAAUAACAGAAUAAUUUAUGCAUUAUGCAAUUAUUAUUAAUUUCUGUAUAUUUUUGCAUGUGUAAUUGUUUGUUAGGAUUAGUUAGCAUUUACGUCAAUGUUUUAUUUGGUGCACAGUAUGUACGAGUAUAUAGUUAUUUGUGACAGCUAUGUUAGCAUAACUGUCACAUUUACUUACCUAUAUUGGUUUGUCACCACAUAACCAUGUUCUCAUACCUUGGACUUUGCUGUGGUUUGUGAACUAGGGCCUUCCUGUCCUUUAAUACAAGGUUCUCUGAGGGUUUUCCCAGGUGCUGUUGUUGUGAGGUGUGUUAGGGAGUCUGAUUUUUGUGUAAAAAAUUACCAGUAAAUAUAUUGUGAGUGCCCCCAACUCAGCCUCUUUGAUUGGUACAUGUCUGGUCUAAGGGAGGUAUUGGGGAAGUGUUACCUUCUGUUUAUUAUUGAUUGCCUGUUACUUAAUGACAUGGUUUAAUCUGAUAUUUUCUAAGUUUAGCUUGGCAGCUACAAAACUAUCAGCUUCUAGGAGUGUGGCCUAAGGUGGUCUUCUAGAUUGUCAAAGCCCCAAUCUUGAGGACCUAACAUGAUCGUUCUCUGAGGUUAUUGAAAGGUAAAGUGAAUGAAGAAUUCUGUAGUUUUGUUCAUGUAAACCAUUUAGUUAUUUCUCCGAGGGAGGUGCUGAGAUUCGUCUUCAAAUCUAGGUAAAAUCUCAGUUGCUACCUGUUUCUGAGCAUGAGUUCACGUCAACCGGUGUUUUUUUUUGCUGCUUUUAUUAUCACCAUUAAGUCAUAC